rnacentral:rRNA from 1 species
CGGCUAACUUCGUGCCAGCAGCCGCGGUAAUACGAAGGGGGCUAGCGUUACUCGGAAUUAUUGGGCGUAAAGCGUGCGUAGGCUGCUUAGUAAGUCAAAAGUGAAAGCCUUGGGCUCAACCUAAGAAUUGCUUUUGAAACUACUAAGCUUGAGUACUGUAGGGGGUAGCGGAAUUCCUAGUGUAGGGGUGAAAUUCGUAGAUAUUAGGAGGAACACCGGAGGCGAAAGCGGUUAUCUGGACAGUCACUGACGCUGUUGCACGAAAGCGUGGGGAGCAAACAGGAUUAGAUACCCUGGUAGUCCACG